rnacentral:rRNA from 1 species
CCCUUAGAUGUUCUGGGCUGCACGCGCGCUACACUGAUGCACUCAUCGAGUUUAUGACCUUGUCCGAUAGGAUUGGGUAAUCUUCUUAAAAUGCAUCGUGAUGGGGAUAGAUUAUUGCAAUUAUUAAUCUUCAACGAGGAAUUCCUAGUAAGCGCGAGUCAUCAGCUCGUGCUGAUUACGUCCCUGCCCUUUGUACACACCGCCCGUCGCUCCCACCGAUUGAGUGAUCCGGUGAAUAAUUCGGACUGCAGCAAUGUUUGGAUCCCGAACGUUGCAGUGGAAAGUUUAGUGAACCUUAUCACUUAGAGGAAGGAGAAGUCGUAACA